GACGAACGCUGGCGGCGUGCUUAACACAUGCAAGUCGAACGGAAAGGCCCUGCUUUUGUGGGGUGCUCGAGUGGCGAACGGGUGAGUAACACGUGAGUAACCUGCCCUUGACUUUGGGAUAACUUCAGGAAACUGGGGCUAAUACCGGAUAGGAGCUCCUGCUGCAUGGUGGGGGUUGGAAAGUUUCGGCGGUUGAGGAUGGACUCGCGGCUUAUCAGCUUGUUGGUGGGGUAGUGGCUUACCAAGGCUUUGACGGGUAGCCGGCCUGAGAGGGUGACCGGCCACAUUGGGACUGAGAUACGGCCCAGACUCCUACGGGAGGCAGCAGUGGGGAAUAUUGCACAAUGGGCGGAAGCCUGAUGCAGCAACGCCGCGUGCGGGAUGACGGCCUUCGGGUUGUAAACCGCUUUCGCCUGUGACGAAGCGUGAGUGACGGUAAUGGGUAAAGAAGCACCGGCUAACUACGUG
rnacentral:rRNA from 1 species